AUAAGAAACUUAAGGGCGUAUGGUGGAUGCCUUGACUAUAAGAGGCGAUGAAGGACGUGCUAGGCUGCGAUAAGCUUCGGGGAGGUGCCUAAGAACCUUCGAUCCGAAGAUUUCCGAAUGGGGAAACCCUCCGACUUUUGUCGGAACUCUACCAACUUAGGUAGAGAGCGCACCCUGGGAAGUAAAACAUUUCAGUACCAGGAGGAGUAGAGACCAAUAGGAAUUUCCUAAGUAGCGGCGAGCGAAAAGGAAUGAGCCCAAACCUAGUUACAUUCUCACGACAUGUGCAAACGUGCUGUGGGAAUGUUACUGGGGGUUGUAAGGCGGAAACGUUGCAAUUCGUUGCAAGGAGAGUCAAAAAAUUACUUGUUAGAUGAAGCUUUUGGAAAGAAGCCCCCUAGAGGGUAAUGGGCCCGUAGUCGAAAAUAAGUAAUCUCUUUUGUUUCCGUUCUUGAGUACCUCGAGACAUGAAUAGCUCGGGGGAAUCUGCCGGAACUAACCGGUAAGGCUAAAUACUCUUAUAGAUCGAUAGUGAACUAGUACCGUGAGGGAAAGGUGAAAAGCAGCCCGGAAGGGCGGUGAAAUAGAUCUGAAACCAUAUGUUUACAAGGAGUCGGCGAGGGCAUUUAUGUCCUCUACGGCGUGCCUAUUGAAGAAUGAGCCAACGAGUUCUAGCAGACGGCGCGGCUAAGUGCGCGAGCACGGAGCCAUAGGGAAACCGAGUGUGAAUAGCGCGUAUGUCGUAAGCUAGAGACCCGAAGCCAGAGCGAGCUUGUCAUGAGCAGGGUGAACUUCGUCGAAAGAUGAAGGGAGGCCCGAACCGGUGAGCCGUGCAAUACUCUCGGAUGACUUGUGAUAAGAAGUGAAAAGCUAAUCGAGCCUGGUAAUAGCUGGUUCUCUCCGAAAUAGCUUUUGGGCUAGCGUCGUGUGUUCCCCUUGGGGGUAGAGCACUGGAAGGUUUGGACAGGGAGAAAUCUCGCUAAACCUAUCAAACUCCGAAUACCAAGGAUUUAAAACACGGCAGUUAGACGGCGGGGGCUAAGCUCCGUACGUCAAAAAGGAAACAGCCUAAGAUCUCUAUUUAAGGUCCCUAAAUUUACACUAAGUGCACUUAAGGAGGUGAUAUUUCUCAGACACUGAGGAGGUUGGCUUAGAAGCAGCCAUCCUUUAAAGAAAGCGUAACAGCUCACUCAGUAAGAGAUAUCGCACCGCAGAUUCAUGGGGCUAAGUGUAGUACCGAAACUGAGGGCUUUCAUCUUCUUCGGAAGAUGGGAGCGGUAGGAGAGUAUUCGUAUCUGCAAUGAAGGCGAAGGGGUGACCCACGCUGGAGCGUUACGAAGUAAGAAUGUUGGCACAAGUAACCACAAUGCGGGUGAGAAACCCGCACAUCGAAAGAACAAGGUUUCCCUCGCAACGUUUGUCGUCGAGGGGUUAGUCGAUCCUAAGUGAAUGGUGAGAACCGCACACGAUGGAUAUACGGUUAAUAUUCCGUAACUUUCGUAGCAAGUGAUGAAGGGACGGGGGUGAGUAUGUAUCGCGCAUUAUGGAUUUGACGUUCGAGUGCUAAGGACGCCAGUGAGGCAAAUCCCAUUGGCACAAAUCCAAGGUAAACGAAAAUGGGGGAGGGCAACCUCUCUCAAAUGAUACAAAGCCACCCUCCAAGAAAAGCUUCUAAACUUAUUGCUACGGAAAUCGUACCGCAAACCGACACAGGUGUUCUGGUCGAGUAGACCUAGAUGAACGAGUGAGACGUCCCCAAGGAACUCGGCAAAAAAGCAGCCGUAACUUCGGAAUAAGGCUUGCCCUCGCAAGAGGGCCGCAGCUAAAGUAUCUCUGGCAACUGUUUACCAAAAACACAGCUCCCUGCGAACUCGCAAGAGGAUGUAUAGGGGGUGACACCUGACCAAUGCCAGAAGGUCAAAUAUCGGCGGUGAUUUUCGCAAGAAAUGAGCUGACUGAUAUAAGCCCUGGUGAAUGUCGGCCGUAACUAUAACGGUCCUAAGGUUCUCCAUUUAACUUCGGUUGAGUGGAGAAGGACUGGGACUGUUGUAGAAAAAGGUAAAUAGUAUAAAACAAAUAAUCAUUACAUUUCUAAGCUACCUAUCAUGUCGAAAUACAUGAGUAGUCCAUCGUGAUCAACGAGAGACCAACGUCACGGACCCUAAACUUGCAAAAGUAGGGUUAAGAGAGAGUCCAACUGAGGGGAAUAGUUGAGCGAAAUUCCUUGUCUGGUAAGUUCAGACGCGCACGAAUGGUGUAAUGACUGGAGAACUGUCUCG
rnacentral:rRNA from 1 species